rnacentral:rRNA from 1 species
UACGGAGGGUGCGAACGUUAAUCGGAAUCACUGGGCGUAAAGAGCUCGUAGGCGGCCUGUUGCGUCCGCUGUGAAAGCCCGGGGCUUAACCCCGGGUCGGCAGUGGAUACGGGCAGGCUAGAGGUAGGUAGGGGAGAAUGGAAUUCCCGGUGUAGCGGUGAAAUGCGCAGAUAUCGCUUGGAACGCCGAAGGUGAAAACAGGCUGCUGGGGUUGUGCCGACGCUGAGACACGAAAGCCAGGGGAGCAAACAGG